rnacentral:tRNA from 1 species
UUAAAAGAGGAAAUAGGCAUCCAUCACCGACUCCCAAAGCCGGAAUUUUAGUUAAAACUAUCUUUUA